rnacentral:rRNA from 1 species
AGUGACAGGUGGUGCAUGGUUGUCGUCAGCUCGUGUCGUGAGAUGUUGGGUUAAGUCCCGCAACGAGCGCAACCCUUGAGCUUAGUUGCCAGCAUUAAGUUGGGCACUCUAAGGUGACUGCCGGUGACAAACCGGAGGAAGGUGGGGAUGACGUCAAAUCAUCAUGCCCCUUAUGACCUGGGCUACACACGUGCUACAAUGGACGGUACAAAGGGCUGCUAAACCGCGAGGUUUGCCCAAUCCCAUAAAACCGUUCUCAGUUCGGAUUGUAGGCUGCAACUCGCCUACAUGAAGCUGGAAUCGCUAGUAAUCGCGGAUCAGCAUGCCGCGGUGAAUACGUUCCCGGGUCUUGUACACACCGCCCGUCACACCACGAGAGUUUGUAACACCCGAAGUCGGUG